rnacentral:snRNA from 1 species
GUAUUAGUGAUAUUAAAUAAGG